rnacentral:tRNA from 2 species
GCCCGCUUGGCUCAGUGGUAGAGCGUAUCACUAGUAGCUGCAAUAAGCCAUGAUAAGGUCAUCAGUUCGAUUCUGAUAGUGGGCA